rnacentral:rRNA from 1 species
UACGUAGGGCGCAAGCGUUGUCCGGAAUUACUGGGCGUAAAGCGUGCGCAGGCGGUUUGUUAAGUCUGUUGUGAAAUCCCCGAGCUCAACUUGGGAAUUGCAAUGGAUACUGGCAGGCUGGAGUAUGGUAGAGGAAGGUGGAAUUCCCGGUGUAGCAGUGAAAUGCGUAGAGAUCGGGAGGAACACCAGUGGCGAAGGCGGCCUUCUGGACCAAUACUGACGCUCAUGCACGAAAGCGUGGGGAGCAAACAGG